UACGUAGGGACCGAGCGUUGUCCGGAAUCAUUGGGCGUAAAGAGCGUGUAGGCGGCCACUUAAGUCCUGCGUGAAAUCUUGCGGCUCAACCGCAAGCGGUCGUGGGAAACUGGGUGGCUAGAGUGCGGGAGAGGAGAGUGGAAUUCCUGGUGUAGCGGUGGAAUGCGCAGAUAUCAGGAAGAACACCCGUGGCUAAGGCGGCUCUCUAGUACGGUACUGACGCUGAGACGCGAAAGCGUGGGGAGCGAACAGG
rnacentral:rRNA from 1 species